rnacentral:rRNA from 1 species
CAGCCCUUGACUUGUGACUCGCCGGCUCCAGAGACGGAGCCUUCGGUUCGGCCGGAGUCAACACAGGUGCUGCAUGGCUGUCGUCAGCUCGUGUCGUGAGAUGUUGGGUUAAGUCCCGCAACGAGCGCAACCCUCGUCUCCAGUUGCCAUCAGGUUAUGCUGGGCACUUUGGAGAAACUGCCGGUGACAAGCCGGAGGAAGGUGGGGAUGACGUCAAGUCCUCAUGGCCCUUACGGGCUGGGCUACACACGUGCUACAAUGGCGGUGACAGUGGGAUGCGAAGGGGCGACCCGGAGCCGAUCCUAAAAGCCGUCUCAGUUCGGAUUGCACUCUGCAACUCGAGUGCAUGAAGGUGGAAUCGCUAGUAAUCGAGGAUCAGCAUGCCUCGGUGAAUACGUUC